rnacentral:rRNA from 1 species
UACGUAGGGCGCAAGCGUUAUCCGGAAUUAUUGGGCGUAGAGAGCUCGUAGGCGGUUUGUCGCGUCUGCCGUGAAAGUCCGGGGCUCAACUCCGGAUCUGCGGUGGGUACGGGCAGACUAGAGUGAUGUAGGGGAGACUGGAAUUCCUGGUGUAGCGGUGAAAUGCGCAGAUAUCAGGAGGAACACCGAUGGCGAAGGCAGGUCUCUGGGCAUUAACUGACGCUGAGGAGCGAAAGCAUGGGGAGCGAACAGGA